rnacentral:piRNA from 1 species
UUGAAUAAACUUCUUUUCUGUGAAUGCA